GUUCCUGUAGUUGAAAUACAACGGUGGUUUUUCGAGUCAUUGGUCUUGGUUAAAGUCCGGGCAGGAAUC
rnacentral:tRNA from 1 species